rnacentral:rRNA from 1 species
GACGAACGCUGGCGGCGUGCUUAACACAUGCAAGUCGAGCGGUAAGGCCCUUUCGGGGGUACACGAGCGGCGAACGGGUGAGUAACACGUGGGUGACCUGCCUUCAGCUCUGGGAUAAGCCUGGGAAACUGGGUCUAAUACCGGAUAUGACUCCAUGAUGCAUGUUGUGGGGUGGAAAGCUUUUGCGGCUGGAGAUGGGCCCGCGGCCUAUCAGCUUGUUGGGUGGGGUGANGGCCUACCAAGGCGACGACGGGUAGCCGGCCUGAGAGGGCGACCGGCCACACUGGGACUGAGACACGGCCCAGACUCCUACGGGAGCAGCAGUGGGGAAUCUUGCGCAAUGGGCGAAAGCCUGACGCAGCGACGCCGCGGUGGGGAGUGAAGGUC